rnacentral:rRNA from 1 species
GACGAACGCUGGCGGCGUGCUUAACACAUGCAAGUCGAACGGAAAGGCCCUGCUUUUGUGGGGUGCUCGAGUGGCGAACGGGUGAGUAACACGUGAGUAACCUGCCCUUGACUUUGGGAUAACUUCAGGAAACUGGGGCUAAUACCGGAUAGGAGCUCCUGCUGCAUGGUGGGGGUUGGAAAGUUUCGGCGGUUGGGGAUGGACUCGCGGCUUAUCAGCUUGUUGGUGGGGUAGUGGCUUACCAAGGCUUUGACGGGUAGCCGGCCUGAGAGGGUGACCGGCCACAUUGGGACUGAGCUACGGCCCAGACUCCUACGGGAGGCAGCAGUGGGGAAUAUUGCACAAUGGGCGGAAGCCUGAUGCAGCAACGCCGCGUGCGGGAUGACGGCCUUCGGGUUGUAAACCGCUUUCGCCUGUGACGAAGCGUGAGUGACGGUAAUGGGUAGAGAAGCACCGGCUAACUACGUG